CGCCGCCAUGGCGACCGUCACCGCCGAGCCGUUGCCGAUGGCGAGCCCGUCCUUCGGGCCGAGUCGCGCCGGUUCGAGGCCGGCCGCGGCGA
rnacentral:tRNA from 1 species